rnacentral:rRNA from 1 species
ACGCAGCGAAAUGCGAUAAGUAAUGUGAAUUGCAGAAUUCAGUGAAUCAUCGAAUCUUUGAACGCACAUUGCGCCCGCCAGUAUUCUGGCGGGCAUGCCUGUUCGAGCGUCAUUUCAACCAUCAAGCCCCAGGCUUGUGUUGGGGACCUGCGGCUGCC